CCCUUUUCCGGGGUGGAUUAGUGGCGAACGGGUGAGUAACACGUGGGCAAUCUGCCCUUCACUCUGGGACAAGCCCUGGAAACGGGGUCUAAUACCGGAUAACACUYUGUCCCGCAUGGGACGGGGUUAAAAGCUCCGGCGGUGAAGGAUGAGCCCGCGGCCUAUCAGCUUGUUGGUGGGGUAAUGGCCUACCAAGGCGACGACGGGUAGCCGGCCUGAGAGGGCGACCGGCCACACUGGGACUGAGACACGGCCCAGACUCCUACGGGAGGCAGCAGUGGGGAAUAUUGCACAAUGGGCGAAAGCCUGAUGCAGCGACGCCGCGUGAGGGAUGACGGCCUUCGGGUUGUAAACCUCUUUCAGCAGGGAAGAAGCGAAAGUGACGGUACCUGCAGAAGAAGCGCCGGCUAACUACGUGCCAGCAGCCGCGGUAAUACGUAGGGCGCAAGCGUUGUCCGGAAUUAUUGGGCGUAAAGAGCUCGUAGGCGGCUUGUCACGUCGGAUGUGAAAGCCCGGGGCUUAACCCCGGGUCUGCAUUCGAUACGGGCUAGCUAGAGUGUGGUAGGGGAGAUCGGAAUUCCUGGUGUAGCGGUGAAAUGCGCAGAUAUCAGGAGGAACACCGGUGGCGAAGGCGGAUCUCUGGGCCAUUACUGACGCUGAGGAGCGAAAGCGUGGGGAGCGAACAGGAUUAGAUACCCUGGUAGUCCACGCCGUAAACGUUGGGAACUAGGUGUUGGCGACAUUCCACGUCGUCGGUGCCGCAGCUAACGCAUUAAGUUCCCCGCCUGGGGAGUACGGCCGCAAGGCUAAAACUCAAAGGAAUUGACGGGGGGCCCGCACAAGCAGCGGAGCAUGUGGCUUAAUUCGACGCAACGCGAAGAACCUUACCAAGGCUUGACAUAUACCGGAAAGCAUCAGAGAUGGUGCCCCCCUUGUGGUCGGUAUACAGGUGGUGCAUGGCUGUCGUCAGCUCGUGUCGUGAGAUGUUGGGUUAAGUCCCGCAACGAGCGCAACCCUUGUUCUGUGUUGCCAGCAUGCCCUUCGGGGUGAUGGGGACUCACAGGAGACUGCCGGGGUCAACUCGGAGGAAGGUGGGGACGACGUCAAGUCAUCAUGCCCCUUAUGUCUUGGGCUGCACACGUGCUACAAUGGCCGGUACAAUGAGCUGCGAUGCCGCGAGGCGGAGCGAAUCUCAAAAAGCCGGUCUCAGUUCGGAUUGGGGUCUGCAACUCGACCCCAUGAAGUCGGAGUUGCUAGUAAUCGCAGAUCAGCAUUGCUGCGGUGAAUACGUUCCCGGGCCUUGUACACACCGCCCGUCACGUCACGARAGUCGGUAA
rnacentral:rRNA from 1 species